AACGAACGCUGGCGGCGUGCCUAACACAUGCAAGUCGAACGGGAAGACCCGCAAGGGUGAGUACAGUGGCGCACGGGUGCGUAACACGUGGGUAAUCUGCCCAGAAGCCCGGAAUAACUCCCCGAAAGGGGUGCUAAUGCCGGAUGAGACCACGGGGACUUCGGUUCCUGGGGGAAAAGGUGGCCUCUGUAUACAAGCUAUCACUUCUGGAUGAGCCCGCGGCCCAUCAGCUAGUUGGCGGGGUAAUGGCCCACCAAGGCUACGACGGGUAGCGAGUCUGAGCGGACGAUCAGCCACACUGGAACUGAGACACGGUCCAGACUCCUACGGGAGGCAGCAGUGGGGAAUCUUGCGCAAUGGGCGAAAGCCUGACGCAGCAACGCCGCGUGUGUGAUGAAGGUCUUCGGAUCGUAAAGCACUGUCGGGAGGGACGAAUAAGGGCCGGGUGAACAAUCCGGUUCGACGACGGUACCUCCAGAGGAAGCACCGGCUAACUCUGUGCCAGCCGCCGCCGUAACAC
rnacentral:rRNA from 1 species